GAUGAACGCUGGCGGCGUGCCUAAUACAUGCAAGUCGAGCGAACAGACGAGGAGCUUGCUCCACUGACGUUAGCGGCGGACGGGUGAGUAACACGUGGAUAACCUACCUAUAAGACUGGGAUAACUUCGGGAAACCGGAGCUAAUACCGGAUAAUAUAUUGAACAGCAUGGUUCAAUAGUGAAAGACGGUUUUGCUGUCACUUAUAGAUGGAUCCGCGCCGCAUUAGCUAGUUGGUAAGGUAACGGCUUACCAAGGCAACGAUGCGUAGCCGACCUGAGAGGGUGAUCGGCCACACUGGAACUGAGACACGGUCCAGACUCCUACGGGAGGCAGCAGUAGGGAAUCUUCCGCAAUGGGCGAAAGCUUGACGGAGCAACGCCGCGUGAGUGAUGAAGGUCUUCGGAUCGUAAAACUCUGUUAUUAGGGAAGAACAAAUGUGUAAGUAACUAUGCACGUCUUGACGGUACCUAAUCAGAAAGCCACGGCUAACUACGUG
rnacentral:rRNA from 1 species